GAGGAUAUAGCUAGUCGGUAGUGUUUGCCUUGCAGGCACAAGGCCCUGGGUUCAAUCCCCAGCACCACA
rnacentral:tRNA from 1 species